ACGACCUUACUUGAACAGGAUCUGUUCUAUAGGCUCGUACCGUUGCAUCCUUUACCAAUAAGGAGGCAAGCUCUCAAGUCUGGUUGAUGCCGACAUAACCUCCGGGCCAGAGCAUGAUUUAACGGCUAGGAUGCAUGUUUGAGCCAUCCGACGGCUGCAGAGGAUCGUUCCUGCCUGGUUCACUCCGGUGCAGGGUGGCCCAGAGGUUGUCUGACAGAUA
rnacentral:snoRNA from 2 species